rnacentral:rRNA from 1 species
AUUGAACGCUGGCGGCAUGCCUUACACAUGCAAGUCGAACGGCGUGGGGAACGGGGGAGUGAUGUAUCGGGACGUGCACAUUCGCGAGGGAUCACUACGCGAACGCGAAGCUAAUACCACAUACUUUUAGAGCGGCCUAUAUCGGAUUAGCUAGUUGGUGGGGUAACGGCUCACCAAGGCGACGAUCCGUAGCUGGUUUGAGAGGACGAACAGCCACACUGGGACUGAGACACGGCCCAGACUCCUACGGGAGGCAGCAGGGGGGAAUUUUGGACAAUGGGGGAAAGCCUGAUCCAGCCAUCCCGCGUGUGUGAAGAAGGCCUUCGGGUUGUAAAGCACUGUUGGCAGGGAAGCGGUACCUGCAGAAUAAGCACCGGCUAACUACGUGCCAGCAGCCGCGGUAAUUC